rnacentral:rRNA from 1 species
ACAGAGGGGGCAAGCGUUGUUCGGAAUUACUGGGCGUAAAGGGCGCGUAGGCGGCCUGUUAAGUCGAACGUGAAAUCCCCGGGCUCAACCCGGGAACUGCGUCCGAUACUGGCAGGCUUGAAUUCGGGAGAGGGAUGUGGAAUUCCAGGUGUAGCGGUGAAAUGCGUAGAUAUCGGAAGGAACACCAGUGGCGAAAGCGGCUUCCUGGUCCAGCACCGACGUUCAGGCACGAAAGCGUGGGGAGCAAACAGGA